rnacentral:rRNA from 1 species
GAUGAACGCUGGCGGCGUGCUUAACACAUGCAAGUCGAACGAUUAAAGCCCCUUCGGGGGUGCAUAGAGUGGCGAACGGGUGAGUAACACGUGGGCAACCUGCCCCCUUCACCGGGAUAACACGGGGAAACCCGUGCUAAUACCGGAUACUCCGGCCCUGGGACAUCCCGGGACCGGGAAAGAUCCGUCGGAAGGGGAUGGGCCCGCGUUCCAUUAGCUAGUCGGUGGGGUAACGGCCUACCGAGGCGACGAUGGAUAGCCGGGUUGAGAGACCGACCGGCCACAUUGGGACUGAGACACGGCCCAGACUCCUACGGGAGGCAGCAGUGGGGAAUUUUGCGCAAUGGGGGAAACCCUGACGCAGCAACGCCGCGUGCGGGAUGGAGGCCUUCGGGUUGUAAACCGCUUUCAGCAGGGAAGAACACAGACGGUACCUGCAGAAGAAGCUCCGGCUAACUACGUG